rnacentral:rRNA from 1 species
UACGAAGGGGGCUAGCGUUGUUCGGAAUUACUGGGCGUAAAGCGCGCGCAGGCGGUCUUCCAAGUCAGUGGUGAAAGCCUGGAGCUCAACUCCAGAACUGCCAUUGAAACUGUUAGACUUGAGUACGAGAGAGGUGAGUGGAAUUCCCAGUGUAGAGGUGAAAUUCGUAGAUAUUGGGAAGAACACCAGUGGCGAAGGCGGCUCACUGGCUCGUAACUGACGCUCAGGCGCGACAGCGUGGGGAUCGAACAGG